UGGCUCUCUGUGUCAAUUAAAUACUUGUGUGCUGAAAGAAAGAAAGACAGAAAAACAGAAUUGAUUGACACUUUGGAGUUAAUCCCCAUAUCAACGACUCCUGGAGAGACGGGAUACACUUAGAGCACAGGGGAUCAACAACGGGAGUGAAAGAGAGUGAAAUCAGGGAAGGAAAGGAGAGAAGACGGGGGAAGGUAUCAGAAUACAUUAUGGACACGCACACAGGGAUAGACUCAUCUGUCCAUCUUUACUCACUUUCUCUCCGUGUAUAUCUCUGUCCAGGCUCCAUGGGGGAUGGACGCUGCUUGGACGCCUGAGGUGAAAGCCCCUCACUGGGCAGAGGAUGCAGCAGCAGUGGGGUUGGAGGUCUGGUGGUGUUGCUGGUGUCCUGCUGAACAAAAGGUUAGAGUUGAGACUCUUCUUCUGUCCUCACAUGUCAUAACAUUGUUAACCAGCAGCUGCUGCAGAAAGGCCUCAUGGGAAUGCCUUUCCUAUACCUGUGCUGCAGGUGUGUGUGUGUGUGUGUGUGUUAACCUUUGACAGAACUGGAGUUCAAAUGGGUUAACACUGACUCUUUCACCAUGUUUGAAAAUAGUUAAAGUGAAGGAGAAGAAAGGAAAGAGAGAGAAAGAAAAAAAAAAAUCAAGGGGACAGACCCUUGGGCAGACGCUUUUUUUAUGUCGUUCAAAGGAUCAGCCGGAUCAGCCGGAGACUUCAAGUGAAACCUGAUAAUGUUAGUGGUCAGGGAAACAUUUACAGGUGGCACACACAUUACUCUCUGUUGCCCCCCGCCCCCCCUUCUCUGAGACAAAAUCUCAAACGCUUUUCUUUCCCUCGGAAGACUUUGUUCUGAAGUGCUCUGGGCUCAAGCGUGUUUUAUAAGCAUUUUUAUACAGUUUCCUCUCUGUGAUACUCUCAGAUAUGCUCUUCUCUCUGAGAAGGCCGAUAAACAGACAAACUAUUUAACCGUCGAAAGACAAUAGAUUUUUUAGAAUGAUUGCAAGUCAAAGCCAUAUGUUCUCCUCUCUCUUUCUCUUCCUCUCGCUAAUGAGUGUAUUUCUCAGCUCCUCGGCGGAUUAGGCGCGCAAAGAAAGAGCGAAGGAAAGAAAAGAUCCAAUUGAUAGACGGCGAGGUCCGCCGAGCUCAAUGGAAGAGAAAAGCGGGCGAGAAAAAGGGGGCGAGAGGUAGAAUAGCAUGAUCUGCAGGGGGCAGACCCUCACUCCAGGACCUUCCUCUCUUUCUGUCGUCUCUUUUUUCCCCUGUCCUCCUCCACUCUGCCUUUGGGAUUCAAAUGCCAUCUCAUUAGUUUUUAUUGGAUUGAAAUGUUUCGUGAGGUCUUUGCUCACGUAGAGAUUGGUGGUGGGAUUUGAGAGGCUAAGAGUGCGCCAAAUAAGUUGUAUCCUUUUGCCUUUCUUUCACUCGGCUUUUCAUGAGCUCAUUCCCAUCCCUCCUUCUGCGCCUGCUAAUUGUGCUGUCGUCUCCACGCUUCAAUUUGCGGUGAAACUGCUUAGAAGUUAAAAUAAAGGAGCCGUUUUCUCUGUUCAUGCUUUUCUGGGUGCAAAUUGAUGUGUUUGACUCUCAUGAGAGACUAAAGGAAUGGGGACACGUUUAAAAUAUUUAUUUAUGUCCAGUUUAUGAAGAACAUACAAAAUUCAGUGCAUAAACAGUAGAUUUGCUACAUGGAAUUACAUAUGCAUAUGUCAAUAAUUCAAUCACCAAAACCAGAAACAGCAUAUUCUCCGAACAGCAAGUGCCAAUAAAAUGAGGUUAAAAAUUGAAAGUUUGAAUUUGAAAAAUUGGAUAUUUGGUCACUGUAGUCUCAUUUGUUUGACUUCCCCAAAAUGGUUCUUGUUUUCAGUUGGACACAAAUAUUAUAUUAAUGUGGUUUGUUAUUAUAUUUAGCCAGUUGAUAUUCACAAACCUUAUUUUUUUUUCUAUGUAGCAAUGUCCUUCUCUUAAAGUUCUUUGCUAACAGGGUCUGUCUCAGUCUCCUGCUAUUGUGUUGUUUCCUGUGCUGGCUCCUGUUAUCAGUGGAGAUCUGCCUCUGUAGCUUUCUACAGCCUGGGACAAAAACACAAAGAGCCACUACGCACACUCACACCUACUCACAAGCACACUUUUCCAGGCUUACCCCAGUCCAAUGUAUUUCAAAGUAAAUUUUGUAUAUGUACAUUUGUCUAAGACUCAUUAUUAUAUGGGCUCUUGGACUUUUAGGAAAUGAACUCUCUUAAAACAUUUUUUUACACUCUCACAAUUUUAUUUGUUUAAUAACUGUUUUUAUUUAUUUAUUUAUUUAUUUGAGUAAUUUUGUCAUUUUUUGUCUCCUUUUUCCAGCCUGUCCUCCUCCACUCUUCCUUUGGGUUUUUCAAAUGCCAUCUCACUUAUUUUUACUGUAUUGAAAUGUUUGGAUCAAAAUUUGAAAUGUUUGUUGAAAUGUUUUGAUUGCAGUUUAUGGAUUUUUCUGAAACUUUUCCACACUGUCAAUUCAACCACAUCCUAAAUGAUGUUUUGUGUUUACUAACAUUAUGAAAAUGGUGGAAAUGGUUGAAAGGGAAAUUACAUUUUAAGCAUUUUUAGGAUUAAAAUGAGAGAGAGAGAGAGAGAGAGAGAGAGAGAGAGAGAGAGAGAGAGAGAGAGAGAGAGAGAUUAUUAUGACAAAAUUGUUGGCAGUAAAAUUUGAGUGGAUAUCAUACUUAUAUGAUGGAUUUUCAUAUUUUAAUACUGAAAGUCUGGGAUAAUGGAAAAAUGAUACAUAAAAUAACAAUCGCAAAUGUUGAAGACAUUGUAAAGAAAUAAUUAAAUAAAAUAACUCUGAAUGUGUUUUAAAUCUAUAUAAAUACGCACAAAUAAAAAAACCAACCCCUCAGACAUAAAAGCGCCUUUAGUUGAAGAAAUACCCAUAUGAUAUACUAAUAUGGUAUUGUGAAUACUAUAUUGAUCUAUUUGAUGUCUUUCCAAUAUAAUUGUCCAUAUGUGAGCUCAUUGUAGGCACGGGCAAGACAUGGACAAAGGCCUUUUCUUACAAAGAUAACAAACUCACACACACAUACAUACAAAGAUAAUACCCCUCCCCUGCCAAACUGCCCCUCGACCUCCCCUCUCACCCCCAAAUCUACCCUCAUUGUCACUAAUCUCAUCCCAAGAUGUUAUCAGCUGUGCAUGUGUGUGUGUGUGUGUGUGUGUGUGUUAUCUGCUGCACUGGUUAUCUUAGAAUAGGUCAAAACAGCAGAGUGCUGCUACCGGUAACUUUCACCUCAGGUUAAACUCUAGUGUGCUUGUAAGCGUGCAGACACACGCAUUUAAACACCCCGGCAAAGUGUUCAGACUCUUUUAAAAAAUUACGGCCAAUCUCUGCGCCAUUCAUCCCACUGCCAUUAUGACGUUACCUCUCACUUGUUCACUGAGAUUAAACCCUGAGAACUGAUUACACUUUUUUUGUUCUGUCGUCCAUUCACCCUAGUUUUCCUUUUCUUUUUCUCUGGCUAUUAAGGAUGACAUGACCUAAUCUAGGAUCAGCACUCUUACCGCACUAUUUUCUUGACCCCCCUCUCUCUUCCUUUAGUCUUUCGCCUCCUUUUUUCUGCAUCCUCCACCAUCUCUUAAUCAGCUCACUUUACCUUGUUCCCUCUUUCUUUCUUCUACUCACCCAUCCACUUUUCUAUAUAGUUUGUCUCUUUCAAUCCCCUCACCAUUCAAACACUAUCAUAUGCUAGACUAACAUGUGAAUUAGCUAAUUGGCCUUUGCUGUUCUGUCUCGUAUGUUCGUUCAUCCGUUCUUUUCUCACUCUUUGUUACAUCUCAGUCACCCUGCGUCCGCAUUAGUGUGAGAAACUAAGUACUCAUGAAAGCAUGCUAACUCUGUGUUUUGUUUCUCUGUAAUAAAUAAGCUAAUGUCUGGGAGCGACGGUAUAUCCUGACUCUUGUUUUUCAUCUCUCAUUUUGUUAUUUUUCUCCUGUGUAGCGUGUGAUUGAAAGCUCGAGCUUCCCCCUCUCUCAUGUGAACGAGGGAUGACAGAGAGCUACAUGAGCCUUGCCGGCGGGAGGAAGGAAAAUUAGACGGUGGAUAAAUACACAGAGCAGGUGUUGAACGAAAACAGUCAUUAAUAUAAUGCCACGUGUCUGAUUUGGCUUUGUGGUUACACUGCUUCGGCAUCUUACAUAUGUGUCAGAUAGAAGCCAUAUAGUUCAAAUCAUAUACAAACAUGAAUUUGGCAAUGUGCAUGUGAGUUUAAACAAUUUCAAACAAUGAAACAAAUGUGAAGCCGUUGCUUCAAAUCAUAGUUUUUCGGAACUGUCAGUUAUAAAAAAAUGUAAAAAAAUAGAAACCUUUGUCUCCUUUAAAAACGCAAUCCUUUUUCUUCUUGAUUUGUCUUUGGCGCUCCUUUUGAUGUUGUAACAUAUUUAUGUGAAUUCUGUAUAUGUCAAACUCUCAAAACAUUCAUUGUUUAUGUCUACAUUUGUUUCAGAGUAUAAACUUUACAUACCCAGAAACAAUUCCUGAGAUCUUCUGACAAAAGAGAGAUUUCUUAAUCUUCAGCUUGCAAGUUCUAAUAGAGCGAUAUCAGAUCAAAUACACAUGCGACAGAUGAACCGUAUUGUGCUGGUUGUAAAUAUUUGCGAGUUCGUGUCACGAGUAUGAGAGAAUGUGCGUUUUAAUAGUGAAAUCAGAUUAGGCGCAGAUCACAAUCCACACACACAGUUUUCCUGAGGGCAGGUACAGUGAUAUACUUCACUUUGUUGUCAUGAAACACAACCCUUCCCCCAGGCCUCACAGAUAAAGAACCUCACACACAAGUUUUGUUUUAAGAUUACCAGAUAUAUUUGUGCUAUAAAAACAAUUAUUGGUAACACAAUUAUUAUUAAGUCAUCGCCAAACAUUAUGUACUGAUUAUAGGUUUUAGUAGCCUGUUUCCACCUGUUUUGUCAAACAAAAACUGCUAUAUAUUUCACAGUGUCACUAUAUAUCUUGCAACUGCAGUAUUUCUCAUUACUGUGACUUAAUAUACUACUGUUCAAUAGUCAGUAAUAUUUUUAUAAAUGCCAAGACUGCAUUUAUUUGAUCAAAAAUAAAGUAAGAACAGCAAUAUUGUGAAAUAUUACAAUUUAAAGUAACAUUUUAAAAACUUUUUAAAAUAUAAUUUAUUCCUGUGAUGUCAAAGCUGAAUUUAGCAGAUAUGCCAGUCUUCAGUGCCACAUGAUUUUGAUGUGUUGCUCAAGAAACUUGAGCUGAUUAGUAUUUUUGUGGAAACUGAUUUUUUUUUUUUUUUUUUUUACAAAUAAAGUACAAAUAAACAGCAUAUCUUGCAUUUCCCCCUCAUAUUCUGUAUUUCCCAUUUAUCCAAUUAUACACACUUACCUAUAUUUUUCAGAAUUAAAAAUGGGGCAACAUAUGAAGUUUAAUUUUU
ensembl:lncRNA